GAUGAACGCUGGCGGCGUGCCUAAUACAUGCAAGUCGAGCGAACGGACGAGAAGCUUGCUUCUCUGAUGUUAGCGGCGGACGGGUGCGUAACACGUGGAUAACCUACCUAUAAGACUGGGAUAACUACGGGAAACCGGAGCUAAUACCGGAUAAUAUUUUGAACCGCAUGGUUCAAAAGUUAAAGACGGUCUUGCUGUCACUUAUAGAUGGAUCCGCGCUGCAUUAGCUAGUUGGUAAGGUAAAGGCUUACCAAGGCAACGAUGCAUAGCCGACCUGAGCGGGUGAUCGGCCAGACGGGAAGUGAGACACGGUCCAGACUCCUGCGGGAGGCAGCGGUAGGGAAUCUUCCGCGAUGGACGAAAGCCGGACGGAGCAACGCCGCGUGAGUGAUGAAGGUCUUCGGAUCGUAAAACGCUGUUAUUAGGAAAGAACAUAUGUGUAAGUAACUGUGCACAUCUUGACGGUACCUAAUCAGAAAGCCACGGCUAACUACGUG
rnacentral:rRNA from 1 species